rnacentral:rRNA from 1 species
AUGCUGGCGGGAGGAGGGCUCAUCGAGGAGCUGCGGAGGGAGAAGGAGAAGUCCUCCGCCAAGAAGCGGCUCAACAUGGACGAGGGGGAAGACGGCGGGGCCAAGAUGGACGUCGAGCCGGAGCCGGAGGUCGCUGUGACGGGGAAGAGGAGCAAGAGGAAGAAGAAGGAUGCGGAUGCGCAAGGGAAGGGGAAGAAGAAGAAGAAGGGGGAGGAUGGGGAGGGGAAGAAGAAGAAGAAGGGGGAGGAUGGGGAGGGGAAGAAGAAGAAGAAGGGGGAGGAUGGGGAGGGGAAGAAGAGGAAGAAGGACAAGGCGCCCAAGGAGUCGGCCGCAUCCAAGAAACGGGCCGAGAAGGAGAGGAGGGCUCAGCUUGAAUCGAUCCAUGCCGAGUCGCAGAGGCUGCUGCGAGAGACAAGAAAGGCAUCAUUUAAGCCAAUUGCAGAGCCAGUGUACAAACCCAUCUCCUCAGUCCUGGAGAAGAUCCGCCUUCGGAAGCUGGAGAUUCAGAAAAUGUCAAAUACUCCUGUCGAAGAGGAAGAGGAAGAGGAAGAGGAAGAGGAAGAGGAAGAGGAAGAAGACGAAGGCGAAGAAGAAGAAGAAGAAGCCUCUUCAGAGCCCGAGAGCGAUCCAGCUGAACAGCCAGCCAUGCCUGAGGUUAAGGAAGUGGGUUCAGAUGACAAAAAUCUGAAGAAUAAUGAUGCUGACAAGGAGGUUGAAGCAAAUGCUGGUGACCUGAAUGACCACGCCAGUCUCCCUGAGGAUGAGGAUGCUGUGAUUAGCGACAAGGAUCUUGAUAAACGUGGUAGCAAAUCUCCAAACAAGGAACUUGUUGAUAGUUCUCAAGAUAAACAUGAAGACAAUGCCCAACCAAGUGAUGACUCCAUCGAUGCUGUAGAUGAAGAAGCUCAUCUGCCUCCCUCUUCAAGCCCUACCAAAAAUACAGAUGAUAGUUCUUCAGAAGAUGAAGAAGAGGAAGAAGAUAAUGACAAGGAGAACAUAUAUCCAGGCAUUCAGAAAAAUGAUGUAAACACCCAUCAACAACCUCGACGAACUGCUGCAAGUGAUUCAUGUCCAGAUGCUGCUGUCCUGAAAGACUUUCUAGAUGUUGAAGCUGAGGAAGAGGAUGACAGUGAUGAUGACAUGGCAAGGUUUAAGGACAACGAAGAAGAUGAUGGUGAUGAUGAAAAUGAAGUACUUACUGCUCUGAUUGCCGCUGGAUUUGAAGAAGAAGAAGUAGAUCAUGAGAAACGUAAUGCACUCCACCAAAAGUGGCUUCAGGAUCAAGAUGCCGCUGAAACAAAUAAUUUCAUUCAAAGAUUAAAAUAUGGUCAUCAGGAGCAGAAAGUGUUAAUGGAGGAAGACGAAGAUGAUAUCGAAGACUGUGAGGAUGAAUCAGAAAAUGAAAGGUCACAUGACUUGACUCCAAAUAUUGUGCGGCAGAAUUCUGAGAAGGCAAAACAAAUGAUUGCCAAAAUGUUCACAGAUGAGAAUGACACUUAUGAGCACUCUGAUGAUGAGGAAAUCGAGGAGCAUUUGGCCCGUCAACGUAUUUCAAAGCGAGAAGUUCAUAGCACUUCAUUCAUAUCUCCAUUGGAAGAUGACAGUUCAAGGGAAAUGUUUAGCCUUAUAAAGAAGCUCAAUAUUGCUCCUCAACCCCCCAAGAGGAGGGGAAAGCAAGCCACAUCAAAUCUUGAAAUGCUUAUGGUCGGAAGUAACAGCAACUCAUCAUCAAAGUCGUCUUUUCUCGGCCGAACAACGAGUGGUCCAAUCUCAUCUUCUCAUAGAUCAACUUACAAGGGCUACAUUUUCGGUCGCGAUGACAGCAAUAGCAACAGCAAGAGCUGCUUUGCAGCUUCUGAGAGUAACUCGGAUGUGCAGGACCAGGCGAACCCCAGCCAACCCAAGAAAGCGAAGUUCAGCAGUUCACAGACAAAGCCAGCCGCAUCAGGCGCAAGCUCCGAGGGCGGCUCGACCUCAGGCGCCUCCCUGUUCGAGCUCCUGCGCAGGUCAACUUCCGGCGCCGAGAAGCAAGAGCACAAGCGCCCCGAAAGCUUCGGCGUCAUCACGGAGAGCCAAGCCGUGCACCAGUUCUCGGCGUUCAAGCUGUCAAGGAAGUUCUCCAAGAUAGGAGCAAGGAACUGA